rnacentral:rRNA from 1 species
GACGAACGCUGGCGGCGUGCUUAACACAUGCAAGUCGAACGAAGUGGCGAACGGGUGAGUAACGCGUAAUCAACCUGCCCUUCAGAGGGGGACAACAGUUGGAAACGACUGCUAAUACCGCAUACUGAAGGAGGGGAUUGCGUCUGAUUGGCUAGUUGGAGGGGUAACGGCCCACCAAGGCGAGGAUCAGUAGCCGGUCUGGGAGGAAGAACGGCCACAUUGGGAAUGGGACACGGCCCAGACUCCUACGGGGGGGAGCAGGGGGGAAACUUCCGAAAUGGACGAAAGGCUGACGGAGCAACGCCGCGGGAGUGAUGACGGGCUUCGGGUUGGAAAGCUCUGUUAAGCGGGACGCGGUACCGGAAUAGAAAGCCACGGCUAACUACGUGCCAGCCGCCGCGGUAAUAC